GAUGAACGCUGGCGGCGUGCCUAAUACAUGCAAGUCGAGCGAACAGACGAGGAGCUUGCUCCUCUGACGUUAGCGGCGGACGGGUGAGUAACCCGUGGGUAACCUACAUAUAAGACUGGGAUAACUUCGGGAAACCGGAGCUAAUACCGGAUAAUAUAUUGAACCGCAUGGUUCAAUAGUGAAAGACGGAUUUGCUGUCACUUAUAGAUGGAUCCGCGCCGCAUUAGCUAGUUGGUAAGGUAACGGCUUACCAAGGCAACGAUGCGUAGCCGACCUGAGAGGAUGACCGGCCACACUGGAACUGAGACACGGUCCAGACUCCUACGGGAGGCAGCAGUAGGGAAUCUUCGGCAAUGGGCGAAAGCCUGACGGAGCAACGCCGCGUGAGUGAUGAAGGUCUUCGGAUCGUAAAACUCUGUUAUUAGGGAAGAACAAAUGUGUAAUUAACUAUGCACGUCUUGACGGUACCUGAUCAGAAAGCAACGGCUAACUACGUG
rnacentral:rRNA from 1 species